rnacentral:ribozyme from 1 species
CCUCAGAGCGAGCUUCCACCUUUACGUGGUUCUGGGGAUGAGUACGCGUGAAGCGGAAACCAAGAGAAGC